AACUUUCGGCAACGGAUCUCUUGGUUCUGGCAUCGAUGAAGAACGCCGCGAAAUGCGAUAAGUAAUGUGAAUUGCAGAAUUCAGUGAAUCAUCGAAUCUUUGCACGCAAAUUGCGCCCGCCAGUAUUCUGGCGGGCAUUCCUGUCCGAGCGUCCUUUCAACCCUCGAACCCCUCCGGGGUGCCGGCGUUGGGGAUCGGCCCUUACCCGGGCGGCCCCGACAUACAGUGGCGGCCCCGCCGCAGCCUCUCAUGCGCAGUAGUUUGCACACUCGCACAGGGAGCGCGGCGCGUCCAAAGCCGUAAAACAAACCAAACUCUGAAAUGUUGACCUCGGAUCAGGUAGGAAUACCCGCUGAACUUAAGCAUAUCAAUAAGCGGAGGCU
rnacentral:misc_RNA from 1 species